AAUCAAGCAAGUAAGGGCACAAGGUGGAUGUCUUGGUACGGACUGGCGAAGAAGGACGUGGCAAGCUGCGAUAAGCCGGGGGGAGCUGCACGCGAGCUUUGAUCCCUGGAUUUCCGAAUGGGGGAACCCGGCCGGGGUGAUGCCCGGUCAUCCCGUGGUUGAACACAUGGACCGCGGGAAGCGAACCGAGGGAACUGAAACAUCUAAGUACCUCGAGGAAGAGAGAACAACCGUUAUUCCCUAAGUAGCGGCGAGCGAACGGGGAACAGCCCAAACCGUCGUGGUGUCAAGGCGGCAGCCGUUGCCGUGACGGGGUAGUAGGAGCAGUUCGCUGGGAGUCUGCCGGCUCCCGGAGUCAGUGUGUCGAGAAGCCGAAUACGGCUGGAAAGCCGAGCCACAGAGGGUGAUGGCCCCGUAGGCGUAACCGACACACCCAGGCUCAGAACCGUUUCCUGAGUAUGCCGGGACACGAGAAAUCCCGGUUGAAUCUGGCAGGACCACCUGUCAAGGCUAAAUACACGUCCGUGACCGAUAGUGAACGAGUACCGUGAGGGAAAGAUGAAAAGUACGCCGGGAGGCGGGUGAAAUAGAUCCUGAAACCGUGUGCCUACAAGCAGUGGGAGUCUUGGUGCCUUCUUCGGAAGGACAUCGGGAUGACCGCGUGCCUUUUGCAUUAUGAUCCGGCGAGUUAGUCCUCUGUAGCAAGGUUAAGCCGUUCAGCGGCGCAGCCGUAGCGAAAGCGAGUCCUAACCGGGCGCACAGUUGCAGGGGCUAGACCCGAAACCAGUGUGAUCUAUCCAUGGCCAGGUUGAAGCGCGGGUAAUGCCGCGUGGAGGACCGAACCGUUGUGGGUUGAAAACCGCUCGGAUGAGCUGUGGAUAGGGGUGAAAGGCCAAUCAAACCUGGAGAUAGCUGGUUCUCCCCGAAAGAUAUUUAGGUAAGAGCACUGGAAGCGCUAGGGCCCUCAACCGGGUACCAAACGCUACUAAACUCCGAAUGCCCGUUAGUCGGUCUCAGGGAGGAAGUGCACGUGCGAUAAUGUUCGUGCGCGAGAGGGAAAGAACCCAGACCUUCAGCUAAGGCCCCGAAGUGCUGGCUAAGUGAUAAAGGCGGUGGAUUUGCGGAGACAACUGGGAGGUUGGCUUAGAGGCAGCCAUCCUUGAAAGAGUGCGUAAUAGCUCACCAGUCAAGCGGGUCUGCACCGACAAUGGUCGGGACUAAAGCCAGCCGCCGAAGCUAAGGCUGUUCUCUGCGCUUGUCGCAGAGGGCGGGGUAGGGGAGCGUUGCCUGAGCUGCGAAGCGGGACCGCGAGGUUCCCCGUGGAGCGCAGGCAAGUGAGAAUGCCGGAAUGAGUACGCGAUAAACAAGGUGAGAACCCUUGUCGCCGUAAGCCCAAGGUUUCCUGAGCCAUGUCGAUCAGCUCAGGGUUAGUCGGCCCCUAAGGUGAGGUCGAAAGGCGUAGCCGAUGGAAAACGGGUCAACAUUCCCGUACCACACGUGUUGCGCUUGAGUCCGCGGAGGGACGCAGAAGUGACAGAUCCGUCGUCUGAGGAGGACGAUGCAAGGAGGUAGGCGUUUCCGGGUAGGCAAAUCCGCCUGGUUAAGCCGAGAUCCGACGCCGAAGAGGUCUUCGGACCUCGCCAAGGGAUCGUAAUCAUGCUGCCAAGAAAAGCUUCGCGAACGAGCAAUCCGUGUGACCGUACCGAUAACCGACACAGGUGGGCGAGGCGAGUAGCCUCAGGCGCUCGAGUGAUUCUUGGUCAAGGAACUCGGCAAAAUGUCCCCGUAACUUCGGGAGAAGGGGAGCCAGGAGUAGGUGAACGCCCUAGCGGCGGGAGCCGAAACAGGCCGCAGAGAAUCGGCCCAAGCGACUGUUUAGUAAAAACAUAGGUGUCUGCUAAGUCGUCCAGACGACGUAUAGGCACUGACGCCUGCCCGGUGCCGGAAGGUUAAGUGGAGGGGUCAGCCGCAAGGCGAAGCUCUGAAAUGAAGCCCCGGUAAACGGCGGCCGUAACUAUAACGGUCCUAAGGUAGCGAAAUUCCUUGUCGGG
rnacentral:rRNA from 1 species